rnacentral:rRNA from 1 species
GACGAACCGUGCGAACGUUGUUCGGAAUCACUGGGCUUAAAGGGCGCGUAGGCGGUUUGGCACGUCCGGGGUGAAAGCCUCCCGCUCAACGGGAGAAGUGCCUGGGAUACGGCCAGACUCGAGGGGGGCAGGGGUCCGCGGAACACAGAGUGGAGCGGUGAAAUGCGUUGAGAUUCUGUGGAACUCCGGCGGCGAAGGCGGCGGACUGGACCCUCUCUGACGCUGAGGCGCGAAAGCCAGGGGAGCAAACGGG